rnacentral:lncRNA from 1 species
GGUGACGCUUGAAGGUAUAGAAAUUUCUAAACAAAGAAAGGGUUGGCCGAACUUCAGCUAAACGACAGAGGGAAAGAAAUCCUAUAAGAAAUCUAAAGGAGUUCGGCGCUACAGAAACUAAAGAAAUGUUUCAGAAGCGAAAAAGAGCAAUAGUAAAAGGUAGAAGCGGAAGUCGAAGCCUGACGCAGAAAGUUUCUUGGUAUAAGCAGAAGCAGCC